GCGCGUGGCGGGCAAGCUUUUCGUCGUCGCAUCGGUAACCAACUUUCACACGUUUGCGGGUUUGCGUUUGAUCUUGUUAGUAUUUCACAGCGCGAUUUCCAUUUUCACUAACGUAAAUAGACUCGAUAAUAGAUGAUAACGCGAUAUGCAGCGUAUGCAUUACAACAAUCGCAGUUAAUCGAUUCCGCGCGGAUCUGGGUCACAAGGGGAGAAGUUUAUCGACUAAAAAGGUCGCCGGGAGUAUAUUUCUCUCUCUUCGUGGUCGUAUUAUUUUCUUCUUCCGUCAUAUAUCUUCCGAAGAAUAACAAACAGCCGCAAGACGGGGAGGGAGAGAGAGAAAGAGACAGACAGACGUGAACCGGAUGCUCCUCUUCGUCGAAUCGAUUACGCUUACGAGGUGUAUAAUAAAAAGUCGCGAUGCGGUAAAUAGUCACCUGUGCUAAUUUGCGAUCUAAUUUUGCCGCGAUAACGAAGUGGUAGUCCGUGGAAUGAAAGCGUCGAUAAGAGAAGGAGAGCUUCCCCGUUUCCCGACGGUAAGCUCAAGCACCACUUUACCUAUGUGCACGUCGGUAAGCCUCCUCUGUUUACCAUCGAGGUAUUGCGAAAUCGCGCGAUUCGCGGGAUCUAAUUUGUUGACAGCGGUGAUAACAGCGUGUCAUCGUCACUUUUAAAGGUCUCGCGCGGGCCUUUUUUACUUCCCGAACGCGAUUAAGCACGUUGUAUCGCAAACUCAGAAUUUCUCGCGCGAUAUCGAUCAAGGUCAAUUGACGACUUCGGGGUCGCGUGGGAAACGAUCAAAGGAGUACAAGGAGCACCUUGUUUUCCUCGAGCCUGAUCUCGAGGAUGCGUCCGCUGGUGACUCGUAAAUGUUCUUUUUCAAACACUACACCGACGCUUCAACAUCUCUCUUUCUCUCUCUCUCCAUCCCGGUUGGGUUUUCUAUCCUCCUGCACGUGCUGAGUACAUAUUUACACGCUUAUCGACGCUCUUAUCGUGCGCGGCGCGCAGCGAGCGGUGGUCGAGCGACUCGGCAGAUAAAGAGCGACUCGCCGAGUGUGCGCCGGGAGCGCGGUUUAAAGAUCGUGCGAAUGUCGUGACAAUGAUUUCGACGAACGGCCGCAUGCGAGAUGCGCAUUGACAUACCCAUCGCCGGGGGAAGUAACGUCACACCCACCCGAUGACAUCUCGAUGGCGACGUCUCCUUCCCGCGCCUCGUCUUCCGCGAACGAGUUCUCCGAAAUGGGCGAGAACGCGCACCGGAGGAAUAAUAAUCUGCUAAUCAACCCGGGAUAACGACGGGGGCUUCGAUGCGCGCGCGCGAGUCUCUCGUGCGCCGGGAGAGAGAGCGCGCGUAUUAACCGACGCGCCAUAAAUUUCAUACACACAACGUGUCCGCAAGCUCCUCCGCACGAGCCGCCGCUGGGCGCCAGUCUAGUCCGGACGGCGGUGAUCCAGUUGAGCACGAGCGGCCGAGCGCGGGUCCACGCGAGGAAGCCGACGCGCGCGCGCGGCGUCAUCGCGUCGAGAGACGUCACGCGUUUGCAUUCGCCAGGUGUGCUCUCUCUCUCUCUCUCUCUCUUUCUCUGGCUGCUCCGUCCCUUCGGCUCGGUCUUUUUCCGCCUUCCUCGGGAAACAGAGUCGAUCCUCGGUGUCUCCGAUCGUCGCGAUGAACGGCUGGCACGAAACGCGAAACCGCGCGGCAACACGCAGGCCGCUGACGUAGUCGUCGGCACAACGGCUAAUUAAUUCCUAUAUACGUGAAAUAACCGAUAAAGACCCGACGUCGCGAGACGCUUUCGGGGACACCAAGAGCUUCGGCCACGCUGUGUGAUCUAUCGGCGGAAUUUUCGCCAAUGGCUGUGUUGUGUGCCCGUCGUAUAAGAAAUAAGAACAAUAAGAGCGAAAUUGCUGAUGUCUAUCUUCUCUCUUGCGAGAGGCGUUUGGUCGAGUUUUUGUGCAACUCAUCGGAAGAGCAUUUCUCGGGUCGAUUUCCGCGGGCUGUCACUUGUUGACAAUCGAGCGCUCUUGGCAGCCGGCGCGACAACAACGUGUCUGGCCGGCCGCGUCUCGCGAUUUGCCAGCGGCGCGAAAGAGUUAUGCCACCGUCGAGAAUAUUUCGGGUCUGGCGCGCACGCUCUCGUGUGUUCCUUUUCGCGGGUUACCGAAGGUGUUAAGCGCGACGUGUUAACGCGGUGCCUCGUCACGACGAUGUAAACAUCGUCGUCACGAAGCGGCGGGAUCCAGUCUCGACGUUGCGCCCUCGGCAUGCGAGUCGGCGGCCGCUGACGGUCAUCGAUGAUUCUCACGAUCGCGCCGAACCGUCGCCGACGACGGAGGACGACGGACACGUGAAAAAAACGUGCUGUCCGACGAUCCCCGUGGAUCCGCUCACUCUCCCUCGCGUUCGGUUAGCGAACUCACGUCGGAUCGCGAAUACCCCCGGUGCGUUGUUCUCGAGGCACGGACGACGACGUUACGUUUCGUUUUA